rnacentral:lncRNA from 1 species
AAAAAGCCUCUUCCACUCCAAACAUAACAGCGCUACCUCAGCAAGACUGAUUUCUGCAUUUCUUCUGAAGGUUGAUGGUUUUUCUGCAGAUUAAAAUUUCCAGAUUUUUAGUCUUGAGUGUAAUUGUGGCUGAAUUGCACUUAAUUCAGGGGGAAGAAGUCAAAAAGAAAGCCAACUUUCAACUUUAGUCUAAAAACUACGAUGAGAAAAACUCCUUGGAAUAUUUUUAAAAGGAGCUCAAUGUGAGCCAAAGAACAGGUGAUGGUCCUGAUAUCAAUGAUGCUAUCUAAAUACACUGAAGCGAAAACUGGAUAAGCAAUUGAAAAAAUGUUGGUAGGUAAUUGGCUAAAUGAAAUAGGCAAAUUUUGGACUAACUUAUUUUC